rnacentral:rRNA from 1 species
GGGGGAUAACUCCGGGAAACUGGAGCUAAUACCGCAUGAUAACUGAGGUUCAAAGGUCGCAAGACCGCCUUGAGAGGGGCCUGCGUUCGAUUAGUUAGUUGGUGGGGUAAUGGCCUACCAAGACGAUGAUCGAUAGCUGGUUUGAGAGGAUGAUCAGCCACACUGGGACUGAGACACGGCCCAGACUCCUACGGGAGGCAGCAGUGGGGAAUAUUGGACAAUGGGCGGAAGCCUGAUCCAGCCAUGCCGCGUGAGUGAAGAAGGCCUUAGGGUUGUAAAGCUCUUUCACCGGUGAAGAUAAUGACGGUAACCGGAGAAGAAGCCCCGGCUAACUUCGUGCCAGCAGCCGCGGUAAUACGAAGGGGGCGAGCGUUGCUCGGAAUAACUGGGCGUAAAGGGCGCGUAGGCGGCCGAUAGCUGUCAGAUGUGAAAUUUUUGGGCUCAACCCGAANACUGC